rnacentral:rRNA from 1 species
AACGAACGCUGGCGGCGUGCCUAACACAUGCAAGUCGAACGUGAUUAGAGAGCUUGCUCUCUAUGAAAGUGGCGCACGGGUGAGUAACACGUAGAUAAUCUACCUGAUGAUUCGGGAUAACACUUCGAAAGGGGUGCUAAUACCGAAUAAGCCCACGGAGUCCUUGGACUCUGCGGGAAAAGGGGGGGACCUUCGGGCCUUCCGUCAUCAGAUGAGUCUGCGUACCAUUAGCUAGUUGGUAGGGUAAAGGCCUACCAAGGCGACGAUGGUUAGCUGGUCUGAGAGGAUGAUCAGCCACACUGGAACUGAGACACGGUCCAGACUCCUACGGGAGGCAGCAGUGGGGAAUUUUGCGCAAUGGGGGAAACCCUGACGCAGCAACGCCGCGUGAGUGAUGAAGGCCCUUGGGUCGUAAAGCUCUGACAGAGGGAAAGAAAUGCAGGGGAGCUAAUAUCUCCCUUGCUUGACGGUACCCUCAAAGGAAGCACCGGCUAACUCCGUGCCAGCAGCCGCAGUAAUAC